CAGAACUGCUUUAGGAUAGAGAUCUGGGGGCCCACAAGGAAUUUCCUCGUGGGCAAAAUCUGCGGGAGGUAUGUAUGUAGCUUUUCAUCUUUGUAGCCAUCUUAUCUAGGAACCAAAAUAGGAGGCAGGUUUGCAUGACCCAGCUUGACUUUUCCUUUUGGCUUAGUGAGUCUGGGGUUCCAAGAUUUAUUUUCCUUUUACAGAUGUCUUUAUAUUUAAGUGUUUAUUUGUUUUGUCUGAUCAGAAAGAUUAUUUAAAUGCCAGUUUAGCGGUUUUUAGGAAGUGAUUAAUGCAUGAACACACAUUCUUGAACUUUCCUCCAAUCAAAUGACCGAAAACUGUUUGUGUGAAUAAGAACUUAGACCAGCGGGUCUCAAACUCUUGAAAGUUUCAGACUCACCUUGAAGAUUUGCUAAAACACAAAUUGCUGGGUUCUAUCCUCAGGGUUUCCGAGUCUGUACUCCUGGGAAGGGAUUUAUAAAUUUGCAUUUCUAACACAUUUCUACGUAAUGCUGAUGCUGCUGAUCCCCAUACUCUGUGAACCACUGAUUGAAACUGUUUUGUUAAAUUAGUGUCUAUCAACCAUGGUUCUGCCCUUACACACUCGAAGGAUAGAACAUUAAUAGUAGCGUGUCAAUUUAAGAGUCAAGUCCUUAGGGUGGGGAUGGGCCACAGAGGCAGGUGCUGCUGAUGCGGUGGGGCAAGUAUUUAAAUCUUCAGCAUGUGGAUGUAGGUUGAGAAAGCCCUUCAAAUGAUUGGUUGAUUUCUUCCUAUCCUGUCUUCCCCUGUGAAACCAUUUUCCUCUACCUCUUAGUAAGAGAGUCCUGGUGCAGAUGAAACAGUGCUCAUGGGAUUGCUUUAGUCCUCAUCCAGAAAAUAAAACAGCCUUUGCCAACAGUUGCCCAGUGCUUCUUAAGGACUUCAGAAGAAGAAGAAGUAGCUAAACCGCAGCACAGCUGAGAUGCAAAGGCCAAGAAAGGACCUCCUUUUGGGAUGGUUGACAAAAAGCCAACAAGAUGGAAGAGGACACAUGCUGGGAGUGAGGUGUGGGGAGAAGAGGAAAACAAAUGCCAAAGUCGGCUACAAACAUCAAGAAAAAUAAAGUAGAGUAAGUGAUAAAUAGCCUAUAAAGAAGAUAAUUGUGUAUAUAUUCUAUAGCAGGGGCCCUCGACCCCUGGUACAGUCCAUAGCCUGUUAAGACCACACAGCAGGAGGUGAGUGGUAGGUGAGCAAAGCUUCAUGUG
rnacentral:lncRNA from 1 species